rnacentral:rRNA from 1 species
UAAAUUGAGAGUUUGAUCCUGGCUCAGGAUGAACGCUGGCGGCGUGCUUAACACAUGCAAGUCGAGCGAUGAAGUUUCCUUCGGGAAACGGAUUAGCGGCGGACGGGUGAGUAACACGUGGGUAACCUGCCUCAUAGAGUGGAAUAGCCUUCCGAAAGGAAGAUUAA